AUAAAAGAUCAGAUCGAGGGCUUCUGUGGGCUCAUUCAAUGUCGGAAGCAAGCAUUCUGCACACGGCCGCCCGUGCCUCCAGCUUCCGAGGCUGGUUCCAGACCAGGAGUAGCGGCGGGAUCGGGCUAGACCCCUCUGUCCCUUUUGGCAGCCUCUCGGCGUGUAUCAGGGCCACGUCCUUGGUCAGCUGUCCCACACCCGAUGGCCCGGGGACCGAGGCAGAGGUGGCAGGGGAGAGAGAGACCCCAGGACUUGUGCACUCGGAUUUUGGAUUGUGACGCGACCUCCCUGGUCAGUCCUCAGGCCCGAUCAGAUUCUGCCUCAGAUCACUUGGAAGUAUAACAACAGUGGAACAGAAUAAGAACAGCAUCGACAACAGAGAAACACCAUCUGGGAGAGCACUGAACCCUUUCUCAGAGAGAGCAGCAGCCACCUUCCCCCACUUGCUGAUAUGCUAUGACUUUGCCCCCUAGGGAGAAGCUCUUUGUAGCCAGUAUCUUAUAAUGGAUUAAAAGCACAGGUUAAGACAACCGAAGCCUCCUUCGAUAGAUGACUGGAUAAAGAAGACAUGACACGUCUAUGCAUUUGGAAUGGAGUCACUCAUGGACAGACGCACAUGCCUUACAGACCAGCAAAGACCGAUCGCCGUGGAUGCAUCUAGGAAAUUUUAUUUGCUUCCUUCAGCAUGCAAUAGGGACAGCGAGAUGAAUCUGACACCGGGAAAGCACCGUCUAAAUAUAUUCCCAUGCGCAAAGGUCUUUAACCUCAUUCCCUAAUUGUGUCUUGGGAGUUUUCUAGAUGGCAAAUACUCCUAUACAGAAUCAUAUUUUAAAUAUAUUA